rnacentral:rRNA from 1 species
UACGUAGGGGGCAAGCGUUGUCCGGAUUUAUUGGGCGUAAAGAGCGUGUAGGCGGUUCGGUAGGUCCGUUGUGAAAACUCGAGGCUCAACCUCGAGACGCCGAUGGAAACCCCCGAACUAGAGUCCGGAAGAGGAGAAUGGAAUUCCUGGUGUAGCGGUGAAAUGCGCAGAUAUCAGGAAGAACACCCGUGGCUAAGGCGGUUCUCUGGGACGGUACUGACGCUGAGACGCGAAAGCGUGGGGAGCGAACAGG